UGGGGAAUAUUGCACAAUGGGCGCAAGCCUGAUGCAGCCAUGCCGCGUGUAUGAAGAAGGCCUUCGGGUUGUAAAGUACUUUCAGCGGGGAGGAAGGGAGUAAAGUUAAUACCUUUGCUCAUUGACGUAACCCGCAGAAGAAGGACCGGCUAACUCCGUGCCAGCAGCCGCGGUAAUACGGAGGGUGCAAGCGUUAAUCGGAAUUACUGGGCGUAAAGCGCACGCAGGCGGUUUGUUAAGUCAGAUGUGAAAUCCCCGGGCUCAACCUGGGAACUGCAUCUGAUACUGGCAAGCUUGAGUCUCGUAGAGGGGGGUAGAAUUCCAGGUGUAGCGGUGAAAUGCGUAGAGAUCUGGAGGAAUACCGGUGGCGAAGGCGGCCCCCUGGACGAAGACUGACGCUCAGGUGCGAAAGCGUGGGGAGCAAACAGG
rnacentral:rRNA from 1 species